ensembl:lncRNA
AAUAAACGAAUGAUUUCAAGGAUGUGGACAAGGACUGAGAUGCUGAGAGUGGAGAGGAAGUGUGACAUAAAGAGGAAAGAAGUUCAUUACCCAGCUGAAAAGGAGGCAAAAGGCUUUCAUAGUUGCCAUGGGAACAGGGCUUUCUCUCCCUGACAAACCUAUAAUAAGGUUGACCCUGACCUCUGUUGGUCAGAAGCUGCUGAGAGAUCAAGUACAUUGUUGAUUCCUGCUGAGCAGCUCAAGAUCUGUUCUUCUGCUGUAAGGACAACCACCUGGGCCAUGAGAAACCACUGAGGAUGAUUCUCUCAGUCGUUUCUCUGGCAUGUUCCAUGGUGCUUUUCAGGAGCUCCAGCAAUCUUGGCUGAAUGCGAUGGCUCCCAGUGCAGGGAGGGCUCGGCUCAGCGCUGCUGCGGAAUGGAAGACUGCCGCUCGCCUGCCCUUCUGUCUCUCGUCUCGGCAUGGUGACAUGGUUUGAGAGUCUUACCUGGCUCUCUUCAGCUAAACAGUCUUCAGGACCCUAAAGAUGCAGAGGGAAGGAUUAUGAAGAACGGCUGUGCAAUGGUACAAGUUCUUAUCUUUUCUCGGACUGUAUGAUACCAUGACAAAACAGUUAAACAACAGGCUGUGGACACCAGUGGAAGACACAGGCUGUAGUCUUCAACAGUGAAUUACCUGUAGUACAUUUGCCUGCAGGUCUUGUACCACCAUGAUGGCACAGUUACUGGUCCACCCCACUUCUAUAUUUAAAUGGAUUGAGCUCAACAAAACAGGGACACUGAGCCCCCCUCUUACCGGGAUCAUCUGUCUGCCUGGUGGACGAGCUGCGUCCUGCCCACUGCACCCAAUUCACAUAGAAAUUUACUCAAAUACUACAGAGGGUUUCAGGAGGAAGGAUUGCUGGAAGAGAUCAGCGGGACUCACUGAGUGGGCAGAGAAAAAUAGCCAGGCCAGUGAAGAUGGAUGGGUGACAGUCCCAUUGGUCACAGCGAUUCAGCACUCAGUCACCACGGAGACAAGCAGUGAAACCAGGAUUGCUGAAAGCCAAAUGAUUUGUGCUGUGAAAAAAAUUUAUAUUUUAGAUCAUUUUCUUAAACAUAAUUUAAUUUAUCAUGUAAAGUAAUGGAGCUUAAGCACAUUAAAUAAAU